rnacentral:tRNA from 1 species
GUUCCGGUCGCUCGGUCGCGCAGAGCACUCGCCUUUCAAGCGAGGAGUCGUGGGUUCGAGUCCCACCCGGUUCACCA